rnacentral:rRNA from 1 species
UGGGGAAUCUUGCACAAUGGGGGGAACCCUGAUGCAGCGACGCCGCGUGAGCGAUGAAGCCCUUCGGGGUGUAAAGCUCUUUCGGCAGGAACGAUAAUGACGGUACCUGCAGAAGAAGCUGCGGCUAACUACGUGCCAGCAGCCGCGGUAAUACGUAGGCAGCGAGCGUUGUUCAGAGUUACUGGGCGUAAAGAGUAUGUAGGCGGUUCUCCAAGUCUGGUGUGAAAUCUCCCGGCUUAACUGGGAGGGUGCAUUGGAAACUGGGGGGCUGGAGUGCGGGAGAGGGAAGCGGAAUUCCUGGUGUAGCGGUGGAAUGCGCAGAUAUCAGGAGGAACACCGGUGGCGAAGGCGGGUCUCUGGGCCGAUACUGACGCUGAGGAGCGAAAGCGUGGGGAGCGAACAGGAUUAGAUACCC